rnacentral:rRNA from 1 species
AGUGAACGCUGGCGGUAGGCCUAACACAUGCAAGUCGAACGGCAGCACAGUAAGAGCUUGCUCUUACGGGUGGCGAGUCGCGGACGGGUGAGGAAUACAUCGGAAUCUACUUUUUCGUGGGGGAUAACGUAGGGAAACUUACGCUAAUACCGCAUACGACCUACGGCUGAAAGCAGGGGAUCUUCGGACCUUGCGCGACUGAAUGAGCCGAUGUCGGAUUAGCUAGUUGGCGGGGUAAAGGCCCACCAAGGCGACGAUCCGUAGCUGGUCUGAGAGAUUGAUCGGCAACACUGGAACUGGGACACGGUCCAGACUCCUACGGGAGGCAGCAGUGGGGAAUAUUCGACAUAGGGCGCAAGCCUGAUCCAGACAUACCGCGUGGGUGAAGAAGGCCUUCGGGUUGUAAAGCCCUUUUGUUGGGAAAGAAAAGCAGCAGGUUAAUACCCCGCUGUUCUGACGGUACCCAAAGAAUAAGCACCGGCUAACUUCGUG